rnacentral:rRNA from 1 species
UACGUAGGGUGCAGGCGUUGUCCGGAAUUAUUGGGCGUAAAGAGCUCGUAGGCGGUUCGGUAAGUCGGGUGUGAAAACUUUGGGCUCAACCCAAAGCCUGCACUCGAUACUGCUGUGACUUGAGUCCGGUAGGGGAGUGGGGAAUUCCUGGUGUAGCGGUGGAAUGCGCAGAUAUCAGGAGGAACACCGGUGGCGAAGGCGGGUCUCUGGGCAACUACUGACGCUGAGGAGCGAAAGCGUGGGGAGCGAACAGG